rnacentral:rRNA from 1 species
CCUACGGGAGACAGCAGUAGGGAAUCUUCCACAAUGGGCGAAAGCCUGAUGGAGCAACGUCGCGUGGGUGAUGAAGGUCCUCCGAGCGUUAAACUCCGUUGUUAGAGAAGUAAGUUCGUGCGAGUAACUGUUCUCGUUUCGACUGUAUCUAUCCAGAUAGCCUCGGUUCAUUACGUGCCAGCAGCUGCGGUAAUACGUCGGUGGCAAGCGUUAUCCGGAUUUAUUGGGCGUAAAGGUAACGCAGUUGGUCUUUUAUGUCUGAUGUGAAAGGGUGCGGCCUAACCGGAGAAGUGCAUUGGAAACUGGAAGGCUUGAGUACAGAUGAGGGAAGUGGAACUCGAGGUGUAGCGGUGAAAUGCGUAGAUAUAAGGAAGAACGCCGAUGGCGAAGGCAGCUCACUAAACUGUAACUGACACUGAGGUUCGAAAGCGUGGGUAGCAAACAGGAUUAGAUACCCGAGUAGUC